CAAACUUUAGCCGACGAAUAUUUUAAAUUCUUCGUCGGCUAAAGUCGGAGAAAUAACCGACGACAUGUUUUUCGUCGGCUAAAAGCUAGACUAUAGCCGACGAAUACCUUAAAUUUUUUUCGUCGGCUAAAGUCUGGACUAUAGCCGACGACAUUUUUUCGUCGUCUAAAGUCUGGACUAUAGCCGACGACAUUUUUUUCGUCGGCUAAACUCUGGACUAUAGCCGACGACUUCUACAUGUGUCGUCGGCUAAAGUCACCACAGACGACCUUUUCCCGACGAAAUCUUAGCCGACGAAAGGUUGUCGGCUAAGAUCUUAACAGACGAAUUAAGCUGACAGGCCGACGAAAAUUUUUCGUCGGCUAAAGUGCUUGUCUUGGUAGUGAUAGCAGAUUAGUUGAUUGAUAUAUUUUCCAUAUCAAAACAAAGUGAUAGUUGACAUAUUGUUGUGAUUCUCUUAAACAAAUCAAUAUGUGUUGAUGUGCAUUAACUGAGGGGGAGAAAUCUCUUAUCCUACGUUGCAUGAAAUCGGAAGCGGAAGCGUAGAAGCAAAGCGUUUGGAAACGCGGAAGCGUUUUUUUUCAAAAAUACUUGGAAGCGGAAGCGUUUUGGAAGCGCGGGAUAAAAUAAAUAUAAUAUAUAUAUUAGAAUAUAUGAAAUAAAAUGUUGCUGUUGGAUGGAGUAGUUUUUGGGUAUUUGAGGAAGGGAAACACUACUUCUUUGUAUGGAGGUGCAUGUAUUGGAUUUCUUCUCAUAAGAAGAAUUCGUAUUCUACAGUUUGCACCACCGCACUAUCAAUCAAUAGCAAACUAAUCAAGACUGGCUUCACUCUUUUCUCUCUCCUCCCUCAUCUUCUCCAUCUUUCUUCUCUCUUUACUCGCUCUCUCUUCUCCCUCAUAUGGCGAUCAUCUUCCAUCUUGUGUAACAAAUCGGGAAAAUCCAAACCCCUCAACACCACCCAUUGGCAGACCCAGACGAUACCUCUGAAUCUCUUACCCUGAGAGUAGAUCCGUAGACAAGAGCGACGGCGGCAACGACCAGACUGAAGAUGAACGACGGCGAGAUGGAGGUCGCGCUUCCUACAUAAGUUCCACCGUCGCUCUUCC
rnacentral:lncRNA from 1 species